AGAGUUUGAUCAUGGCUCAGGAUGAACGCUAGCUACAGGCUUAACACAUGCAAGUCGAGGGGAAACGACAUCGAAAGCUUGCUUUUGAUGGGCGUCGACCGGCGCACGGGUGAGUAACGCGUAUCCAACCUGCCCACCACUUGGGGAUAACCUUGCGAAAGUAAGACUAAUACCCAAUGAUAUCUCUAGAAGACAUCUGAAAGAGAUUAAAGAUUUAUCGGUGAUGGAUGGGGAUGCGUCUGAUUAGCUUGUUGGCGGGGGUAACGGCCCACCCAAGGCAACGAUCAGUAGGGGUUCUGAGAGGAAGGUCCCCCACCAUUGGAACUGAGACACGGUCCAAACUCAUACGGGAGGCAGCA
rnacentral:rRNA from 1 species